GUAUUUUGUGCUCAUGAAACAUAGAGAAAUAAUAUUUUUCAUUUGAAUAAAAUUUAUCAUAGGAUUUAGCAACUUGUUUGUGCAUUCAUUUUGGAGCAUUUGUUUUCAUUGUAAUGUGUGACAUUGAGCGAAGUUCAAAAUGGUUUCAAACUGAUUUGAAAAUGGUUUGGAAAUAAAAGAAAAAAACAAACAAAAGAAAAAGGAAAAACUUCCCCCUCUACUUUGUGGGCCGAAGGCUAGUCCCCCUCCUCUCUCUAUUUGGCCUGAAGACCCCCAAACCCUCCCCUCUCUCUCUCGGGCCGCAAGCAGGCCGGCCCAAGCUGCGAAUCCUUUUCUCAGCAGCGGCCCAAGCACCCGCAGCAGCCCACGAGCGCUCCUCUCCCUUCCCCUCUCCUUUCAUUCUCCGACGCGUGGACCCCACACCCAGAGUCGCUGAUGCCUCGGGCCCGCUCGUUAGUCGCCCUUCUCUUCUUCAACCCUGAGUCGGGUGCGGUCUGGACUGUUUCCUGGCCGAUCCACCGAAUCCGCCCUGCAACCUUCUCACGAUUCGGCUUGUCCCCCAUGCCUAUGUUCCUAUAAAGCUUCAAUCGCCUUUCCCCGAUGUCUUUUUCCCAUCCCCGGGGCAUCGGUUUGCCCUAGCCCAGCUUGCAAGCGCCGCCGCCACUCCAUAGAUUGACGCCGAACACGGAUCAACGCUUCCUCCACAAUUGUGCCCCC
rnacentral:lncRNA from 1 species